UACGUAGGGGGCGAGCGUUGUCCGGAGUUACUGGGCGUAAAGCGCGCGUAGGCGGACCUGCAAGUCGGGGGUGAAAGCCCGAGGCUCAACCUCGGAACUGCCUUCGAUACUGCGGGUCUCGAGUCCGGGAGAGGUGAGUGGAAUUCCUAGUGUAGAGGUGAAAUUCGUAGAUAUUAGGAAGAACACCAGUGGCGAAGGCGGCUCACUGGCCCGGUACUGACGCUGAGGCGCGAAAGCGUGGGGAGCAAACAGG
rnacentral:rRNA from 1 species